rnacentral:RNase_P_RNA from 1 species
CUCGUGGAUCAGGGCGUCGCUGUCCGCAAGGGCAGAGGAAAGUCCGGGCUCCACAGGGUACUGGGCCUGGUAACACCAGGGCGGGGCGACCCGACGGAAAGUGCAACAGAAAACAAACCGCCGAUGGCCGCGAAAGCGGAUCAGGCAAGGGCGAAACGGUGGGGUAAGAGCCCACCGCCGGACUGGCAACAGGACGGGCACGGCAAACCCCCCAGGGAGCAAGACCAAAUAGGCCGGCGCACCGCGCAAGCGGCGAGGGUUGACCCGACCGAGCCGGCGGGUAGGUCGCACGAGGUGGGUGGCGACAUCCAUCCCAGAGGAAUGACGCUCCACGACAGAACCCGGCUUACCGAUCCACCACGGCC